GAUUUGUAAUGGUUUACAUACAUAUAGCAUAUCUUCUCAUCUUGAAAUCAUAUAUCAUGCCUAUAGAUAUCUAUAUAGUUAAGUAAUCAGUUGUUUAUGCCUACAUAUGACCAAUCCAUUCAAUUGGUACUUGCGAAAUCAACGACUAAUCUAUGUUAGUAGCUAUCGAGUGGAAUGGAAUGGAGAUCAUUGUGAAUUUGGAAAUGUUUUUCUGUUAGGUGAGAACAGUCAAAAAGUGUAUGCAUGUAUAUAUGUACUUAUGUAUGUAUGCGUACGUAUGUGUCUGUCUGUCGCUCUACUAUUGAGCCAACGAAUUGAAGAUAUGAGGAACUGCCAUAUCUCAUAAGAAAUUAAGUUGUAGGAUACGAGAGGGAUGGGACAGAGACGUACCUCAGUGGCAUUGUCGACCAAAAUCUCUUUUGCUAGCGCAAAAUAUAUUCCCAAUUUAUCAACCUUGGAUAUCUUCGACUGUCUGGGGUGACACAAAUAUACUAAUAAAUAAACGAAAGGAUUUGAUAUAUUUACACAUAUAUCAGAUAUAUAUCACUAUACAUACACGUCAGUGGAUAUACAUGCUCAGUGUAAACAAUGGCACGAUUACAAGCAUGGGAAAACACGAAGCAGAUUGGAUAGUUUUAGUUCGGCUUUGGCCUAUAUCUCACUUUCCUUCCCUUUUCAUUUUUAGUUGGUUUUUAUUAAAUUAUACACAUAUAUGUACAUAUAACAUAUGUAUGUAUAUAUGUAUGUAUAUGUGUGUGUGUGUGAACUAAUCCAUUUUUCUUUAAUUAGAAGUACAUAUCUUCUUCGUGUAACAAGGGCAAAAGAAAGUUAUCUCAAAAGAUUAGCUUAUAACUAUUAAGCAAAAUUUUAUUGAUUUUUAAUAAUUAAGAGCAUAAGAAGUAAAAUAAUCAAAUAUAUCUGCACAGUAUUACUUUCUAUUGUUCUAAUUUUUUUAUUCUUGUUUAAUAGUCAAUAUAUCUUUACGUGCUGAGUAUUAAAAACUACACAAUUCAUAUUCAGACUAAAUAAUUUAAAAAAGAAAAAUUUUACAAUUUCAUCCUAAAAGAAUUGAACCCUGUACUUCAACAAUCCAAGGCUUACUUGCUAACAAAUUAACUUUUAAAAAUUGUAGAAUUUUGCUUUUAACUCUAACUAUACAUAUAUAAAACAACAAUAUUGUACGUAUAGAAUAUCUUUUCAAUAAUUUAAUUUUUGGUAUUAAUAUAUACUAGUUGAAUUAUGUAUACAUAAGUCGUGUCUACAUGUGUAGACACAAACUUAUAGAUACACAAUGUAUGGUGCUCUGGCGGCUAAAUGGAGGUAGUGGGUGACGUGAUCCAAUUAUUGCCUUUAAUUGGCAUCGUGUCGUCUUUAUUCUUUAUACAUAAUAUACAGUACAUAUAUGUAUAUAUCCACUUCUUUUCUCUAAGUGGCGAAGCCACUUAUCUUAUAGGUUGGGAUUAAACCAAAAUCUAACAGUAAUUUGUUUUGUGAUGUAAAGGUUAUAACGAUUCAAGCCAAGCUCGGUGGCUACACACCCACAAACAUAUAUGCAAUUGCAGAUAAUGAACUGGUGAAUAAGUACUAACUUGAAAUUUUUUAAAAAAGAAAAUUACUGACCUGCAAAUAUACCCAGAAGUAAAUUGAUUGAAAAUAUCCUCACGUGCCCAUCGAAUCACAACAUCAGUAGAAUCUAACGACGAGGGAUCUUUAUUAAUUAAACAAACUCAUGUCUAGAAAUAUUUAAAAAAUAUGAAUGUCACACAAACAUGCCAUACAUAUUGUAAAACCAAAUAUAUACGUCCGUCUAAUUGAAACUGAUCCAAGGACAAUAACAUCUUUCUUUAAAUAAUAUUUAUCCGACUCGAUUAUGUACUUAGGUACUUGAUUCGUAAAUAUGAUUUCUCUGUAAAUUUAAAGACAAGAAACUAAACAGAUUAUAAUAGAGUAUUGAUUGAUAUGCCAAUAUGGGUAAUAUAUCUAAUGUUGUCAAGCUUGAAUAUGACAAGCACACCCAAUCUAGACUAGCAAAUUUAAGCACCGGACAGAUCGUACCUGUUAAGAAUAAUUCAUUUCAGUGGCUAAAUGACCGAAAAAUAUUUAGAUGGGUCAUUGUAAAUAUAUGUCCCCAUGAACUGAACAGAGUUCAAAGCAAAAGCCCGAGGACGUACAGCCAACCGGAUUAAAUUAUUAUCUGCCGUAAUAAUUCAACUCGAUAAUUAAGACGUGACAAGGGAGAAAAAGUAACAAAUCAAAGGAAAAAAAUUAGUAAAUAGUUAGAAAAAGGUAGUAUCAUUGUAAAUAUUAAUGGUAAGUACUAGUGUUUUUACCACUAGAUAAUAAUCUUAGAACGUUUUUCUCUUAAAACAUAUAUAUUAUAUAGCUUACAAUAUAGCUUCUGAACGAUGUAUUAUCAACGGUUUGUUUGAAUGUCUUUUGCACAUUUGUUUGGGUAAUACACCGGCUUAUUGAAGAGCUUAAUUUAAAAACUACACGACCAGCUUGUGGAAAUGCUAACGUUGAAGUUUGCAUACUAUUUUGCUUUUUAAGUAUUCAUUGAUUGUCAAAGACGACAUGGAAUGCUUAACCUCUAAGAGAACUUAUAAAUCUUCCAACAAAAAUUAGGCAAAGUCCAUGCACUCUAAAAAGUUUAGAGACUAUAACCACAUCAAUGAAUCUCUACCGUGCUACCGUCACGGAUGUUUCCUUGUUUCCAAUUAGUCCUUUUCGUAGGGUACAAUUGUUGCUUCAAUUUCAUAAUUGAGGGAUAACUUGUAGGAUUUGCUUACACACAUAUGCUUAAUUUUGUCACGUACGUCUACUCCAAACACUGGAUUUAUAUCUAUAUGGGGACACACAAAUAUAGUGUAGAUAUUUGCAAUCUAUUGCUAGCUAGAUGUCGGCUGUGUUUCUAAAAUGUUAAGUGAGGAAUUGAAUUAACAUGGAUAAUGUCGUGUCAUAUUGAAAACACUGCAAUAGCAUUGUCAUUGUUAUCUAUUUGGAUGUAAUAAAACAAUUAGUCGGAUGAUUAAUUGUCAAAUAUUAAAUUCAUUAUUUAUAUUAAAACUGAAACAUCUAGUAUGUAAUAUAUAUUAAUAUGUCUUGCUCGUAUAUGUAAGUAGAAUAUUGGGACUAGGGUACAUGUUAAUAAACUAUCAAAUAAAUAUAUAAGUGAACAAAAUCAAUUGGUUUAUAAAAUAACAUUGGUUUAAAGAUGUGACAUUCAAAAAUAAUAAUGUUCUAAUAAAAGAAACUUUAAUCAAAUUCUAAACUACCAGAAUUAAUGACUUAAAGUAUAUGUAAAAAUAUUUUAUUUAUAAAAAUUAGACUCGAACAAUAAAAUUAUCAAUCUAGAUCUCGCAUCUCAAAUGUUUUUGGAGCACGUACUCAUGAUGUAAAUAUGCCUAUAGAGUAUGAUACAUAUACUCUUUAAGAGGUACGCGUUAUACAAUCUCUUAGUUUCAUGAAUAGUUGUCAAGCAAUAUAAGUAUAACAAUGGUAUUAUAAGAGCAUGGUUUCUGUUGAUUAUUUGGGGUAUAUGGUGAAUCCGGACUACAUGACUUUACAAAAGAAGCUAGAUGGAACCACCCAGGAGUUAAUCAAGAAGCAAAUAUAAGAACUUGAUUGACAAAGAGAUAACUAAUUAAUUAGAGUGUAAAGUUCAUUUUUUGAGUUAUUAUUAAGGUGGGGGACUAACUACAUAAAUAGAUUACUUAACAUUUUAUUAUCAGAGUGGUAAGGCUAUAAUUAUACUAUAGAGAUCGCCAUGUUUAUAUCACAUUUAAUUAAUAUUCUUUAUAUCUUAAAAUUAGAAUAAUAUUAUAUAAAAUUGAACUACAUCAAACUCUUAUAAAGAUAUUCCAAACUCGACUAAGCUUCAAUUCAUAAGUUAUCUAACAAUAUGAUGUGCAUUUAUGCUACCUAUCAAGAUAAAAAAUUUCGAACAUAAAACCAAACAUGUCAACUAACCUUAUUAAAUCUAAAUCACCUUAUAGUAUUGGCUUAAUAUCAAAUAAAUACUUUUAAAAUACCUUAUCAACUAACAAGAAAUCAUUUGAACUAUCGAAGAUCACUCUUAAAAUCCCAUAUAACCUAAUUAUCAAGUCCCUAUUAGUAGUUUGAACAAAAUUAAUCUCUUUGCGACUUAGAGUUCUCAAAAGCUGGUAAAUUCUUUUUACUAUUCCCCUCAUCACCACUACCAAUUUUUCUUUUGUAGGGUUCAUAACAAAGAUCCUACCAAGUGUAUCGCUAAAUAACAAUCUAUUUUGCAGAUUAAAAAUCUUAAAAUCUUCAAAUCAGACCCAAAAAAAAAAUGAUGAUUAAUGUUGAACAUGUUAAACAUCACCUCGUUUUAGGAAUAAGAAAAUUCGUAGGGAGGAAAUUACUGAAAUGACACGAACUGUACUCCUACCUUUUGAAAAAAUUAUUUCAUGAAAUAAAUAUUAAUAGUUUAUUAGGCACAUCCAAAAACUUAAAUGAAUCAUACGGACGAAAUUUCAACUCCAAUAUAUACCACGUGAUGAGAAUCCAUAUACUAAUACUUCGCUAAUUAUUUAUAAUUAUUAAUUUGACCCUAGCAUGUCGACAGUCGUCAAAUCGAACUGUUGACUGUGCCACCGGUUGUUUUCCUUUUUUUUUUUUUUUUGGUCUAUUCAGUAUGCGAACUCUCUGGACAUUUACGGCCAGAUUUAAGAAACGUCACUCAUACGAUAAGUAGUUCGUGGCUCUGUUCUCUUUCCUCCCCUCAUGUGGUUAAACUGUUGGAUGAUCAGUCUGGUUCCCACACUCUCGAAGGUUCCACAAUGCAUGCGUCCGUACGCAGCACCCGAAAGGGACACGCUGCUACCGUGGGACGUGACAUUAAUGACCAUCCAAUGGCUUGGGGGGUUAGUUAGCAAGCUCGAAUAUGUGUGAGCUGUAAUGCACCGCCGGAUCACUUUACGGGUCCCAUGCUGACGGUGUUACACGAAGCGGCACCGGCCCCGGUAGGUCCACGUACAGGGGCCGAGGGCGUUUAAGAUUUGCUAGGAUUUCUAUAACAAAUAUUCUUUCGAGCGUUAACUAUAAACUUUUUUUCUUUUGCUCAAAGAAAAGCUAUCAAACUUUUUGUAGACAGCUUGAAUAAAGGAUUUCUGGCUUGCUAUAACUUAUUCUUAAUAGUAAUUUUUUAUUUAAAUUAAACUGUAUUACCUUUUGGUCGAGAAACCAGUCUGCAGGUGCAGCUUUCAUAUAUUGAGAGCAAAUUACAGUUGCUUCAGCUUAAAAAGAAAAAUUAGAAAUGCACCGACUUAAUUUAUAUGGAGGUGGGUCCACUUCAGUCACCUGUCACGCUAACAUGAAGACUUAAAAUAUCAUGCACGCAUGUAACGGCUAAUAGCUAUCGGACCACCACACCAUCCAAUAGAUUAAUAAAUAUAUAAUCUUCAUUCGUUAUUCAUAUUUUUUUUAUUUUCAUUUUAUUCCAUUGAGGGUCGCGAGAGGUAAUUUCAAUAGGACUUUUUUCAUUAAGGGUUUCUAUUUUUCUUUAGCUUGAACCGUAACUGUAUUUUUUCUCUUCACUUUUGUACCUAAAACUAAAAACUUCAUUUCAUAUAUAACAAUAGUUUCUAGUUUCUAUUUCUUACAUUUAUAUACAUAUAUAUAUAUAUAUUGAUACAUGUAUUUAUUCAUCAAAAAUAUGCAAGAAAUGUGUUCAUAAAAUAAUUAAACAUCAGUAAAAUAAUAUUAUAAAAUACUAAAAACAACAAUUUUAAAUUGUUAAAUUUCGUUAUUCUUUUCACCAUUGUUUUUUUUUAAUUAUUAACUGACUUAAUGCGAAUAAAAUAAAUACAAAUUUAAAAACUAAAAAUUAAAAUUUUCCUAAUCUAGAGAUUAUUAUGUCAAAAAUUAUUUAUUUAAGUUAAAUAAAUAAUCAAGUUAUCUAUUAAUAAAAUUUCAUGUUUAAGAUAUUUUGUAAAAUUCAAUAGAAUUGUUGCAUUUAAAAUCAUUCAUCUUAUUAGUUUACCAAUAGUAUAUCUUUGGCAAUAAAUUUCACCAUGAGUACGUGCUCAUUUUAUGAUAUAGUAGAACAUCGUAACAAUCAUUUUUUGGAAAAGAAAAAAAAAAAACCAAAGAUCACAUUUUAACAGAAAGUUUUCUCGUAGAAAAACACUCAGUCAUAAGCAUUCAUGUGAAGAGUGGAAAACAUCAAAAUGACAAUCAUAUAUUAUUUAUUUUCAAUCUUAUAGCACCGCAAACUGAAUAAAAGUAAUUAAUGACUUUUGGGUCUUUUUCUAUAGACAAUCGUAUGUCAAAUUUUUAGACUAUAUAGUAUUAGAUAAUAGUUUUCCCCUCUUAAUUUAGCUAGUAUGGAAUUUCAAUUCUAAAUUUGUGUAGAUGUAUUUGACAAUUUUCAUUCCAAAGGGAAAAGAUAUAUUAUGAUGUGGGGUUUUAGAUAUAGUAAGAAAUACAUUCGUUUAGGAUCAUUUUUAUUUUUUAAAUUCAAAGGUAUAAAAAAAUUUAUGUUCUAUAUUACAUUUUAAAAUAUAGGAAUUUUUGUUUUGGGUGGGGUGGGGGGGGGGGGGGUUUUGGGGUGGUUGUUUGGGGGAGAGGGUGGUGGGGAGCUGGAAGGAGAAGGAUAGGGUGGUGGGGAGUUGGAAGGAGAAGGAUAAGAACUGAAAUCCAUUUCUAUUUUGUACUUUUACCUGACAAAAAUUAUUCAAAACUAAGUUAAGCUUCAACAAAUAAAACUCAUCAAAGUCAAAUCCUAGUGGGAAGAGAAGUACCGGGCCUACAAAGUUAGACCAGAUUUGGUUCGCUCUGGCUGACUAGAAUUGUUUAUCCAGUUAGAUUAAAACGUUUAUAUCGAGCAGAAACAUAUGAUCUAAAACCCUAAAUAUCUCUUGCACAUGCCUUUAAUCAACAUGGAUUAUGUUCAUAAAGUUGUUCAUAAAGCUUGGUUUUUAUACUUUUGGAUCAAUAACACUGCCAUGAAUUAUAAUAUACACUGCUGUGUCAGAUCUUGAUUUUGGGAUGUUUAAUUGACUUUUGUUUGAUUAUCAAUGUAUGUAAUAUGAAAUAACUGUAGUUGGAGUUGAAUUUUUAAAUUGGCAAAAAAUCUUUAAUUGAGCAUAUCAAGUUUUGUAUAUUAUAAAAUAAAUAUACUUGAUUAAAUACUAAUCUUGCUUUAGGAAGCUCAUCUAACAAACAUUUAGACUUAGCUUUCCAUUUUUCCCAACACUCCCUAUUUGUCCAACUAUUCUUAAACAGACCCCUAUAAAAACUAAAUUUUAACAUGGUUGAUUUUUCAUCUUUGUAAUUAUUUUAAACACUUUAAAUUAGCAAAUAAUUAAAUUAAUUAUUAGAUGUAUUACAUUCUAAUAUGCUCCCCGAUGUAAAAAUAUAAUAUUAAUCUUCAAGUUAAGAAUUGAUCGAUAUUGAUAACUAAUUUAUAUAAAUUGUUUUUUAUUAUAUCAUUAUUUAGAACGGUAUGAUAAGUAUUAUUAGUUUGCUACAAUAUGUACUACAACAUACAAGAGAUGCAAGAGCUUGGGGACUGAGUGAAGAACCGGAGAGUGAUCUUUGAUUGUGAGAAGAAUUGAAUUGGAGAUGAGGGGUGGUAAUAUCUCAAACAUGAAAAACUAUUGUGUAAAUAUGCACAACAGAACUACUACAAAAACUAAGAAUGGGAAUUAGUUAGGCGUGAACUGAGAAUUAUAAGCAAAAGUGAGCUUAAUUUAACUAGGACAAAUGAACAUGACAAAUUUAAUACGCUGACAAUUGAGAAUUCAUUACCGACCAAGUCACCAAAGACAUUAAAAGCUGAAAGCUCUUCUUGAUAAUACAUAUAAAUAAAUAAAUCAAGCCUAGUGUUUUCGGUCAUGCAUAUGGCACAAGUAAUUUCUAGUAGUAUCUUUCCACCUUCUUUUCUUUUUCUACAGCAACCCAUUUUAGAUGUAUACGUAUAAACGAACCGUAAUAUUUUCAAUUCCAUUUAAUGUCAAAUAGGGAUAUAUACGAAUCUAAAGAAAGCCCAAGUUAAGUUGCCUAUAUACUUCAUUUGUCGAGACUCGAAGUAUAACAUUAUGUAUAUUAUUCUCAAACCUAUAUUUGUUUCUAUCCGUUUGAUCUCUCUACCACUCUCUAUAUAAACCCCUACCUGGCCUCAAGCCCCACGCAUACUGAUCUCUUGAUCUUCAUAAUUAUAGCCAUUAUUCCUCAUAUCAACUAGUCCUUUACUCAUCAAGAUCAAGAGCAUUGAACACAAAAACUCAUAUAAUAGAGUGAGCGUCAGAGAGAGAGAGAGAGAAAGAAAGAGAGAGGGAGAGAGAGAGAAGGAAGGGGAAGGAAAGAAUGGUGAGAGGCUGCAUUUGUAUGGAGAAUAAUAUUUCUAUUGGGCUGUAUGCUAUCCUCUUGCUCUGUAUUUUUCUCUCAUAUUUCUUCAUAAGGAAGCGAAGAGAAGAACACAGAGGAGGAGCUAAGCUUCCUCCUGGUUCAAUGGGGUGGCCUUAUGUAGGAGAAACACUUCAGCUUUACUCUCAGGACCCUAAUGUCUUCUUUGUCACAAAGCAAAACAGGUCCCUAACACUAACAGAAUGUUUUAACUGUUAAAUUCGUCUUUACAUGGAUAGGAACUUAAAAAUUCCAAAUUUUGUUUUUUAAUUUGAUUGUUUCUUCAGAUAUGGUGAAAUAUUCAAAACCCACAUACUCGGGUGCCCCUGUAUCAUGCUGGCUAGCCCUGAGGCUGCAAAGUUCGUGCUGGUGACUCAUGCUCAUUUGUUCAAGCCCACAUAUCCAAAAAGCAAAGAGAAAAUGAUUGGCCCUUCUGCGCUAUUUUUUCACCAAGGUGACUACCACACUCGGCUAAGGAAGCUGGUUCAAAGUUCAUUAUCCCCAGAAAGAAUACGAAAACUAAUACCCGACAUUGAAGCCAUAGCUAUUUCUGCCUUGGAUUCAUUGGCCGGAGGCCUAGUCAUUUCCACCUUUCAUGAGAUGAAGAAGGUUUGUAUUAGGAGCUAGAGAUGUUAUAUAUAAAGCUUAUAAUUAGGCUAUAAGUUUGCAGACAUAUUUGUAAUGUGAAGAUCACGUUGCUAAUAAGUUGUUUUGGCUUAUAGAAGUAUUGCCAUUUAAUCAAACUCAGUUUGUUACUUUAUUGUCCUAUUCCUCCACUCUUAUUAUAUUGAGUGUCUCAGAUUUUGUUUUUAUUGAUGGCCUUCGUAGCUAUUGUCUGCUCAUUUUAAUUUUUUAAUGAUAAAAGGGAACAAGUUUGUUCUUCAUGGGUCCUCCACUUUUUGUUAGAGGUAACGAUUUUUUUUACUAAUAUGUGGUUUUCCUUUAACUUCCACAGUUCUCUUUUGAUGUUGGAAUUCUCUCAAUCUUUGGUCAUUUGGAUAGCACCUAUAGAGAGAAGCUGAAAGAGAACUACCAAAUAGUAGAUAAAGGGUACAAUUCUUUCCCUACGAAUAUUCCAGGAACUUCAUAUCACAAAGCACUCUUGGUAAGUUUCCUUUAUUGCUUUAUUUUGUUCUUAGAAAUUUAUGAUUUGAGGCAUUUGAAUCAGUCCAUUUUGUUUAUUACCUUGUUGUUUCCGGUAAAAUUUCUGAAAUAUACAGGCAAGAAGAAGACUUAAUCAGAUUCUAACUGAGAUCAUAAGAGGGAGGAAGGAGAAAAGGCUGGUAGAGAGUGAUCUUUUGGAUCAUUUGUUGAGCUUUCAAGAUGAAGGGGGGAAAAUUUUAUCAGAUGAUCAGAUUGCUGAUAACAUCAUUGGAGUUCUUUUUGCUGCUCAGGACACAACAGCUAGUGUUUUAACAUGGAUUAUCAAGUACCUAAAUGAUGACCAAAAGCUUCUAGAAGCCGUUAAGGUAAUAUGUUUUCAUGUUAGAUCAAUAAUAUAGGCAUAUAACAUUCAAUGAUCAAGUUGUUCUGAACUGAAAAUGGAUAUUUUUAUACUACAGGCAGAACAAAAGGCCAUAUAUGAAUCAAACGACAGAGGAAGAAAGCCAUUGUCAUGGGCACAGACAAGGAAUAUGCCACUUACAAAUAAGGUAUAUAACAUGUACAACUCAUCAAGUGUCCUUUGUCAAGCAACUUCUAUAGAGAGAUAGUUUCUGAUCAACUGGAUGUGAUCGUACUUUCAGGUUAUAAUGGAGAGCUUGAGGAUGGCAAGCAUCAUUUCCUUCACAUUUAGGGAAGCAGUGGUUGAUGUAGAAUACAAAGGUAAAGGCUUCAAACGAGUCAGUCUUUUUUACGUUACCAACAUCUAAGAGGCUUUUCGUUCUUAUAAUCCUUAAAUGUCCCCCAAAAUGUACAGGAUACUUAAUACCUAAGGGCUGGAAAGUGAUGCCACUCUUCCGGAAUAUUCAUCACAGUCCAGAAUUCUUCUCCGAUCCUCAAAAGUUUGACCCGUCUAGAUUCAAGGUGCUCAAUACUAUAAUAAUUAUUCUACUUUCUAUUAAUUUUAGCUAUUAAAGAUGGAAUAUUGACUACGCCUUCAAAAACACCGAGAUUCACUGUCACCAGUGUUAAUAAAUUUACUGACUGUGGUUUUUGGUGAAAGCAGGUACCUCCCAAGCCCAAUACCUUUAUGCCAUUUGGCAACGGCGUUCAUGCCUGCCCUGGUAAUGAGCUUGCCAAGCUGGAGAUGCUCAUUUUGAUCCACCAUUUGUUCACCAAAUUCAGGUAUAUAUCGUUUUUUCAUUUACAUUUUACUGACAAGAUCAGAGGAUAUUAUCUCUACAGAGCUGCAUAUAAGGCGAUUCUUGACCAGGAAUAGCUUUUUUUGUUGUGAUUUCUUUUUUGCAGAUGGGAAAUGGUGGGCUCUCAGUAUGGGAUCCAAUAUGGCCCGUUCCCUGUCCCUCAACAGGGUCUCCUAGCCCAAUUUUGGAAAGAAUCCAGCUGUCUGAUACAAGAUUUUGUAUCCUCAAAUUAAAGAGCUAUUUCCUUCAUGAUUCCCUAGACCAAGAAAACCCCAAAAAUAGAAUGAGAAAAAAAGCUCCUCUUAGUAUAGGAGAAAAUUUAAAUGUAAUGGGGUUAGAAAGAGAGUUCAGGGGGAAUUUUUUUCUUCCCAGUUCAUCCUAGUUACUCCAUCGUUUUGGCCUAGGUGUUAUAAUUGUGACUUUGUACUACUAAGCAAGAGCAUUAAUGGCAAAAUAUUUUGUAAUCAAUCAAUGAGCAAACGAACGUAUGCCACGUUUCCAUCUAUGCAUUAAUCAUGCACAUUGUUUCACGUGACGUGGGGUUCAGAGUCGGUGGUCUGAAAGGCACCAAGUGUCCAUGGUGCGAUUGGUUCAGAUGAGAACAAAAGGUGCCCUUGGCUGGAGGGUGCGCUGUCUCAAAGCUUCAAAGCACUUUGAAAAGAGCAUAUUACAUGUAUUGUAAAUGUCUACUGAAAUAACAGGGACCCGUAAGAGAGAAGAGCAUACCAGAAAUGACGCUAACAGCUAUCUAUUUUUCUUCGGAAUUUUUGAAGCCAUUGUAGCUUUGCCGGUGGCCCCAUAAUGUGAUAUUUGUUAUUGACGGGCCCAAUCGACUUAUAAUUGAGGGUACUACUGUGGGGUUAACAUGAAAACAGAGGACGCCCAAAAAGUACUUGGCUCCUUCCUUUUUGUCCGGAUUUUUCCAACCAGUUUUUCUGUAAGAAUCAGAAAGAGACCACGGAGUUACUUUCCAAAGCAAUGGUAAUAUAAGUCUGGUAAAACACGAUAGAAAGCAAAUCUUAGAUGCAGCAAACGUGGUCGAAAAUAUGAGAAAAGAAUAUGCUGGAAGACAAUCUGAAGAUGACUAGAGAAAACAUGUCCAAACAGAUAGAAAGAAACUUGGAGAGAAUGACAACAAAAUUCAGAAAUAUUAAAGACUCAAUCCUUGUGUUCAAGAAAAUGACUCAGGUGCUGACGUUCCAAGUUGCAGAAAAUGAAAUAAAAUUAAACCAACAUUCGGAGUAAACCAUCAGGUCUACAAACAAAUCUUGAUCGUGUGAGAUUAUAUAAACUGAUUUACCAUAAUAACAAAUUAUCCAACAAGUUAAAUUGAAUUCUCAAAAAGAUGUUUCAAGCUUAACUUCCUCCCAAAUUAUAGAAGUAUUUUGCAAAAGGGAAAUAUAAUAAGUCCCCAUAACAAUCAAACAACAGCCGCGUGGAAGGUUCAAAAUAAACAGAUUUUAGUCACCACAUAAAAUUUGAUGGUGUAUAGAACAACUCCCAAACAUGGGAAAAAUUGAGAACAGGCGACAAAGCUGAUAGAGCUUCCAUGUGUGGAGUUUCAAUACACAGCAUAAACAUGAAGACCAAUUCUAAAUAACGUGCCUCUACACGACAUGGUAAAUGUGAUAAAAGAAUUGUUUACACCAAGAUGCUUCAUAAAUAAUUGCCAACUUUAAGCUAAGAUCAAGUACAAGAUGUCACUAAAUUUAAACUCCCAUAACAUGAACAUAAUUGAAUUAUUUUUACUUUAAUGCUACUUGCCUACAUCACAGAAUCAUCACAACCACUGCCACAAAACAUAAAAUAAACAUUAUGAACAUUCACUUUCAUCUUAGCAACUGUUGCUAUGACAUAUGUACUGGGACCUUCAAAAUCAUUAAGACUGUUAUCAUAACUGUUCUUAGCAUCAUCAGCACCAAGCUUACUGUAUCAUCACUGAACUCGGAAAAGAACCCAAAAGGUCCCCAGUAUCACAACUUCCGUUCCAUUCUGUACUACCAUAACUAUUCCUGCCAGAAAUUUCAUAUCUUCAUUUUGGAGAAAGAAUUUCUCGGGACCACCCUCAUGAUCAUAUAAAACCAAAAUGUUCAAUUCAGGAAUCGAUUUAAGCUAUCAAUGACAAAGUUUAAUACCACUACACUAACAAAUAUAAGGUGCAGUCCAGACAAACAUUUCAUGGCUUAUUUACCCGCAUAAUCAUUCUAGAAGUGUGCAUGGAAUCCAGCAAAAUGAUGUUUUGUUUAUUCAUUAAACAAAAAACUACUUACUGUCAAUUUAAAAUUACAAUUAUAGUAAAGAAUGGCAUCAAUUUCAAGUUGAUGACUAUAUUAUGGAAUGAUAUUGACAAUACAAUAAACGAUAAGCUAAACUUGGACAGAUGAGUCACACACCGCACAAAUUUUUGCAUCAAUAUGUUCUACCAUGCCAGAAACUGUCCAACUAAUGCAUGACAAAUCGCUGUGAAAUGUCAUAUCUGUUCAACAAAUGGAAGUCCCCAAUUUAUCAUGCUGCUUCAGCACCAUAACCACACUUUAAGACCUAAAUAAUGCCAUCCCGACCAAGCAUAUGAUCAAGGUUUGAUUAUCUAGCUGAGAAAAUGAUCAUAAAUUAAUUAGACAAUUUUUUGGUUAAAAUAGAAUGUGACCCUACAAAUUUUCUGGACAAACAAAAGAUAUCACAUGCUAAUCUCAAUCCUAGAGCAAGAAGAUGAAAUUUCAAGUAACAGAAGAACUAAUGUCGGAAAAUCAUUACACUAAGAAGACAUUGCAUAAUUAGGACCAGGUUUCUCUUCAACCAGCUUAGCAAACGCACAUCUGGUCCUCAUAUUGUAAAUUUUCCAUUCUCGUAUAAAGAAACAGGGGAAUUUUUUAUUUUUUAUUUUUUGAUAAAUGAGUUAUCAUGUUCCUGUAAACAACUCUCUACACAAGCGAAUGGUCUCAUCAUUAAUCUCAAAAUGUUUUGAUUCGUAGAAAUGCUGUAUUUUCUACAAUUCAUUCCCAAUAAAUCUCUAAACUUCCAAGAAUCAUGUUUUGUUAAAAAUCCCUUACUUCAAACACCCACAUCAAGGACCCUUCACAGAGCACCAAAGUCACCUAGCUACUAUUUAUUAAUAAUUUUUACUUCAGUUCUAAUACAACCUAAUCCCCAUUAAAUCAAAGAAACCAAAGAUUUUGGAAUCCUUUAGGAUCCUCUUCUCUUCCUAAUAUUUUAAAUCUUCUAUUUCAUAAACAAUGGGAUAAGAAAAUCUUUAGAAUGCAGAAAUUCAAUGAUAUCUUUUUCAUGAAAAUUAAAAAUUUUAUCGUACCAAUUGAUUUGGAAAUUUGCAAGAGAUUUUCAAAACUGUAAAAAGCCAAACAGAGAAAGUUUACAUUGUGGUUUUUCAAAACCAGACAAAACCCAUGCAAUAGAAGACAAAAAAUUGUGGAUGGUGAUUUAUUAGGAUCUUAACUAGAUAUGAGCAAAAACAAAUAGAACUCCAAAAUCUCGGUGUUUCCAGAGCCCAAUUACAUUUCCUUGUUAAAAUCCCAAAAACACUAAAGAUGAAUUAACUAGACAUUAAAUAGUUUUACAGACAGAAGUUGAGGGAAUAUGUUUUUGAGUGAGCAUCAAUACUUCCAAAAUUUUGGAUGGUUGAAUAUCUCUUGCUACUAAUGGUAAAACCAUAGAAAACAAGCAUAGUUAAUAGGGUCUUAAACUUGAAAAGUACAAGAAUUUCUGCAGGGACGACGGAUAUGCAAAUUCUGCAAUACUCAAAGAUAAAUGAUAGUUUCUCCUACUCUCGUAUUCUCCAGAGGCUUCUACUAAACGGUAGCUUCUUGUUUUAGAUGUAAAAUCUAGAAAGAUAAAUGAAUGUUUUGAGUUUUACCGGUUGGAAGAGAAAUUUGAUAACCUAACCUCGUUUGAUUAUGAAAACAGUUAUGACUGCUGUUUUCCCCUUUCUAUCACAUUGUCUUUCUUGACAAGAAAAGUAAGUACAAUACCAAGGCAGUGCCACCAAUGGUAAAAGUAAGGAUUACAAGUCUAAAAGUCAUCUACAUCUUCCUCCGAAGGGGAGGAUGAUCCUUGAACAAGAAAUAGAAGGUCUCGAACCAAAAGACCUCCAGUUGGAGAAGAAGGAAUGCACUCCCCUAAGUCCUCUUGUUUCUCUGGACAAUAAUAAUUGUCUGCUAAAUCCUACAUUCUACUCUAACUCUUAUUUUCUGCUUUAGAUGCUCCUAUUAAUCAUAAUUCUUUCCUCCCUAUAUGCAAUAUGAAGAGUCGGUUUUUCUUGAUUUACUGCCACCAAAAAACCACAUAGGUAGAUUAUCAAAAUCUUCCCUGCGUCAAGCAAUGAUUGUGACCUCCUUCAGAAACAACCCAAAAUCAUGCCAUUAAGAGAUCUGUAUUUGGCCCAAGUUCUGAUCCAUUGACUUCCUAAGGAACUUAAAAAAUAAAAAAUUAUAAUCUAAGGCCACUAGAGGACAUACACUGGAAAUUGAAGGACAACUAUCAUCCAUUUUCAAUUGUCAGUUACUGUAGGCAGCCCAUUCUUCUCUGUUCCUUCCAAAUCAAGAAGAAUUUUUUUUCCAUCUGGGAACAGUCACAAAGAAUACGACGCCAGCAAGGUUACAAUCACCAAAUUUCUGGAUCUGUUUCACCCACUAAAAUGCACAAAUUUCAAAAUUAAUUUUACUAGAC
rnacentral:lncRNA from 1 species